rnacentral:rRNA from 1 species
UACGAAGGGGGCUAGCGUUGCUCGGAAUUACUGGGCGUAAAGGGAGCGUAGGCGGAUAGUUCAGUCAGAGGUGAAAGCCCAGGGCUCAACCUUGGAAUUGCCUUUGAUACUGGCUGUCUUGAGUAUGGGAGAGGUUAGCGGAACUGCGAGUGUAGAGGUGAAAUUCGUAGAUAUUCGCAAGAACACCAGUGGCGAAGGCGGCUCACUGGCCCGGUACUGACGCUGAGGUGCGAAAGCGUGGGGAGCAAACAGG